rnacentral:tRNA from 1 species
GGAGGUGUGUUUGAAAAAAACGGAAAUAAGCUGCUAACUUAUCUCUUCAAGUGGUUAGAGUCCAUUUAUAUCUU